GAUGGCGACCGGCGCACGGGUGAGUAACGCGUAUCCAACCUUCCGCUUACUCGGGRAUAGCCUUUCGAAAGAAAGAUUAAUACCCGAUGGUAUCUUAMGSGCACAUGCAAAUAAGAUUAAAGAUUUAUCGGUAAGCGAUGGGGAUGCGUUCCAUUAGAUAGUAGGCGGGGUAACGGCCCACCUAGUCKACGAUGGAUAGGGGUUCUGAGAGGAAGGUCCCCCACAUUGGAACUGAGACACGGUCCAAACUCCUACGGGAGGCAGCAGUGAGGAAUAUUGGUCRAUGGGCGCGAGCCUGAACCAGCCAAGUAGCGUGAAGGAUGAAGGUCCUACGGAUUGUAAACUUCUUUUAUAAGGGAAUAAAGUCACCYACGUGURGGUGUUUGUAUGUACCUUAUGAAUAAGCAUCGGCUAACUCCGUGCCAGCAGCCGCGGUAAUACGGAGGAUGCGAGCGUUAUCCGGAUUUAUUGGGUUUAAAGGGAGCGUAGACGGGUCGUUAAGUCAGCUGUGAAAGUUYGRGGCUCAACCUURAAAUUGCAGUUGAUACUGGCGUCCUUGAGUACGGUUGAGGCAGGCGGAAUUCGUGGUGUAGCGGUGAAAUGCUUAGAUAUCACGAAGAACUCCGAUU
rnacentral:rRNA from 1 species